AAACCAACAGGGAUUACCUCAGUAACGGCGAGUGAAGCGGUAACAGCUCAAAUUUGAAAUCUGGGUCUUUCAGGCUCCGAGUUGUAAUUUGUAGAAGAUGCUUCGGGUGCGGCUCCGGUCUAAGUUCCUUGGAACAGGACGUCAUAGAGGGUGAGAAUCCCGUAUGUGAUCGGUUGCUUGCGCCCAUGUGAAGCUCUUUCGACGAGUCGAGUUGUUUGGGAAUGCAGCUCAAAAUGGGUGGUAAAUUUCAUCUAAAGCUAAAUAUUGGCCAGAGACCGAUAGCGCACAAGUAGAGUGAUCGAAAGAUGAAAAGCACUUUGGAAAGAGAGUUAAACAGUACGUGAAAUUGUUGAAAGGGAAGCGCUUGCAGCCAGACUUGCGCGUUGCUGAUCAUCCGGGGUUCUCCCCGGUGCACUCGGCUUCGCUCAGGCCAGCAUCGGUUUUGGUGAUGGGAUAAAGGCCUUGGGAAUGUAGCUUCUUUCGGGGAGUGUUAUAGCCCUCGGUGCAAUGCCGCCUACUGGGACCGAGGACCGCGCUUCGGCUAGGAUGCUGGCGUAAUGGUUGUAAGCGAC
rnacentral:rRNA from 1 species